AUACGUAGGGUGCAAGCGUUAAUCGGAAUUACUGGGCGUAAAGCGUGCGCAGGCGGUCUUGAAAGUCAGAUGUGAAAGCCCCGGGCUCAACCUGGGAACUGCGUUUGAAACUCCAAGACUAGAGUAUGGCAGAGGGGGGUAGAAUUCCACGUGUAGCAGUGAAAUGCGUAGAGAUGUGGAGGAAUACCAAUGGCGAAGGCAGCCCCCUGGGUCAAUACUGACGCUCAUGCACGAAAGCGUGGGGAGCAAACAGGAUUAGAUACCCUGGUAGUCCACGCCCUAAACGAUGUCUACUAGUUGUUGGGAGAGUAAAAUCUCUUAGUAACGCAGCUAACGCGUGAAGUAGACCGCCUGGGGAGUACGGUCGCAAGAUUAAA
rnacentral:rRNA from 1 species